rnacentral:rRNA from 1 species
UACGGAGGGGACUAGCGUUGUUCGGAAUUACUGGGCGUAAAGCGCACGUAGGCGGCCAACUAAGUCAGACGUGAAAUCCCUAGGCUCAACCUAGGAACUGCGUCUGAUACUGGAUGGCUUGAAUCCGGGAGAGGGAUGCAGAAUUCCAGGUGUAGCGGUGAAAUGCGUAGAUAUCUGGAGGAAUACCGGUGGCGAAGGCGGCAUCCUGGACCGGCAUUGACGCUGAGGAGCGAAAGCCAGGGGAGCAAACGGG